rnacentral:ncRNA from 1 species
AUUAUGACUGAACGCCUCUAAGUCGAGAAUCCCGCCUGGAAAGCGACGAUGCAUUCGUGCCUCGGCCUCGAGAGGCGUAGCUAGACGGCCGUGUGGCCGUGGAAAGAGCCCGAUUCCGACCCGAGAGGCCGCGGCAAGAGGCGGCCUCGAAGUCGGUGGAUCCUCCUGCUCGAAAGGCGGGGUGCUAAACCAUUCGCAGACGACCUAGUUGAAGAUCGGGGUGUCGUGAUCACUAGAGCAGUACAUCUCACUGCGAUUUGUUGAGAGUAAGCCUCAAGAUCUGUCGGUUUGU